rnacentral:rRNA from 1 species
UUGCCAGACUCCUACGGGAGGCAGCAGUGGGGGAUAUUGUACAAUGGGGGAAACCCUGAUGCAGCGACGCCGCGUGAGUGAAGAAGUAAUUCGUUACGUAAAGCUCUAUCAGCAGGGAAGAAAAUGACGGUACCUGACUAAGAAGCCCCGGCUAACUACGUGCCAGCAGCCGCGGUAAUACGUAGGGGGCAAGCGUUAUCCGGAUUUACUGGGUGUAAAGGGGGCGCAGACGGCAGCGCAAGCCAGGAGUGAAAGCCCGGGGCCCAACCCCGGGACUGCUCUUGGAACUGCGCGGCUGGAGUGCAGGAGGGGCAGGCGGAAUUCCUGGUGUAGCGGUGAAAUGCGUAGAUAUCAGGAGGAACACCGGUGGCGAAGGCGGCCUGCUGGACUGCGACUGACGUUGAGGCCCGAAAGCGUGGGGAGCAAACAGGAUUAGAUACCCGUGUA